rnacentral:rRNA from 1 species
UACGUAGGGGGCAAGCGUUGUCCGGAAUUAUUGGGCGUAAAGAGCGCGUAGGCGGUCCGGUAAGUCGGUUGUGAAAGUCGGGGGCUCAACCCUCGGAUGCCGAUCGAUACUGUCGGGCUAGAGUCCGGAAGAGGCGAGUGGAAUUCCUGGUGUAGCGGUGAAAUGCGCAGAUAUCAGGAGGAACACCAAUUGCGAAGGCAGCUCGCUGGGACGUUACUGACGCUGAGACGCGAAAGCGUGGGGAGCGAACAGG